rnacentral:rRNA from 1 species
CCUACGGGUGGCAGCAGUAGGGAAUUUUCCACAAUGGGCGAAAGCCUGAUGGAGCAACGCCGCGUGCAGGAUGAAGGCUUUCGGGUCGUAAACUGCUUUUAUAUGUGACGAUUAUGACGGUAGCAUAUGAAUAAGGAUCGGCUAACUACGUGCCAGCAGCCGCGGUCAUACGUAGGAUCCAAGCGUUAUCCGGAAUUACUGGGCGUAAAGAGUUGCGUAGGUGGCAGAGUAAGCGAAGUGUGAAAGCGUCCCGCUCAACGGGAUAAACAUGUUUCGAACUGCUCAGCUAGAAGAUGAGAGAGGUCGCUGGAAUUCCUAGUGUAGGAGUGAAAUCCGUAGAUAUUAGGAGGAACACCGAUGGCGUAGGCAGGCGACUGGCUCAUUCUUGACACUAAGGCACGAAAGCGUGGGUAGCAAACGGGAUUAGAUACCCUAGUAGUC